GCGGACGGGUGAGUAACACGUGGGUAACCUACCUAUAAGACUGGAAUAACUCCGGGAAACCGGGGCUAAUGCCGGAUAACAUGUUGAACCGCAUGGUUCUACAGUGAAAGGCGGCUUUGCUGUCACUUAUAGAUGGACCCGCGCCGUAUUAGCUAGUUGGUGAGGUAACGGCUCACCAAGGCAACGAUACGUAGCCGACCUGAGAGGGUGAUCGGCCACACUGGAACUGAGACACGGUCCAGACUCCUACGGGAGGCAGCAGUAGGGAAUCUUCCGCAAUGGGCGAAAGCCUGACGGAGCAACGCCGCGUGAGUGAUGAAGGUCUUCGGAUCGUAAAACUCUGUUAUUAGGGAAGAACAAAUGCGUAAGUAACUGUGCGCGUCUUGACGGUACCUAAUCAGAAAGCCACGGCUAACUACGUGCCAGCAGCCGCGGUAAUACGUAGGUGGCAAGCGUUAUCCGGAAUUAUUGGGCGUAAAGCGCGCGUAGGCGGUUUUUUAAGUCUGAUGUGAAAGCCCACGGCUCAACCGUGGAGGGUCAUUGGAAACUGAAAAACUUGAGUGCAGAAGAGGAAAGUGGAAUUCCAUGUGUAGCGGUGAAAUGCGCAGAGAUAUGGAGGAACACCAGUGGCGAAGGCGACUUUCUGGUCUGUAACUGACGCUGAUGUGCGAAAGCGUGGGGAUCAAACAGGAUUAGAUACCCUGGUAGUCCACGCCGUAAACGAUGAGUGCUAAGUGUUAGGGGGUUUCCGCCCCUUAGUGCUGCAGCUAACGCAUUAAGCACUCCGCCUGGGGAGUACGGCCGCAAGGCUUAAACUCAAAGGAAUUGACGGGGACCCGCACAAGCGGUGGAGCAUGUGGUUUAAUUCGAAGCAACGCGAAGAACCUUACCAAAUCUUGACAUCCUUUGACCGCUCUAGAGAUAGAGUCUUCCCCUUCGGGGGACAAAGUGACAGGUGGUGCAUGGUUGUCGUC
rnacentral:rRNA from 1 species